rnacentral:rRNA from 1 species
CCCUUAGAUGUUCUGGGCCGCACACGCGCUACACUGAAGGAGGCAGCGUGUACUCCUGGAUCGAAAGAUUUGGGUAACCCGCGAAUCUCCUUCGUGCUAGGGAUUGAGGUUUGCAAUUAUCCUUCAUGAACGAGGAAUUCCCAGUAAGUGCAAGUCAUAAGCUUGCGCUGACUACGUCCCUGCCCUUUGUACACACCGCCCGUCGCUACUACCGAUUGAAUGAUUUAGCGAGGACUUCGGACUGGGACCGAUGCGGCUUUCGGGCUGCGUCGGUAUUCUGGAAAGAUGUCCAAACUGUAUCAUUUAGAGGAAGUAAAAGUCGUANCA